rnacentral:rRNA from 1 species
GGUGGGAUGACGUCAAAUCAUCAUGCCCUUAUGACCUGGGCUACACACGUGCUACAAUGGUUGGUACAACGAGUUGCGAAUCGGUGACGGCGAGCCUAAAUCUCUUAAAGCCAAAUCUCAGUUCGGAUUGUAGGCUGCAACUCGCCUACAUGAAGUCGGAAUCGCUAGUAAUCGCGGAUCAGCACGCCGCGGUGAAUACGUUCCCGGGCCUU